AACGAACGCUGGCGGCGUGCCUAAUACAUGCAAGUUGAGCGCUGAAGGUUGGUACUUGUACCAACUGGAUGAGCAGCGAACGGGUGAGUAACGCGUGGGGAAUCUGCCUUUGAGCGGGGGACAACAUUUGGAAACGAAUGCUAAUACCGCAUAAAAACUUUAAACACAAGUUUUAAGUUUGAAAGAUGCAAUUGCAUCACUCAAAGAUGAUCCCGCGUUGUAUUAGCUAGUUGGUGAGGUAAAGGCUCACCAAGGCGAUGAUACAUAGCCGACCUGAGAGGGUGAUCGGCCACAUUGGGACUGAGACACGGCCCAAACUCCUACGGGAGGCAGCAGUAGGGAAUCUUCGGCAAUGGACGAAAGUCUGACCGAGCAACGCCGCGUGAGUGAAGAAGGUUUUCGGAUCGUAAAACUCGGUUGGUAGAGAAGAACGUUGGUGAGAGUGGAAAGCUCAUCAAGUGACGGUAACUACCCAGAAAGGGACGGCUAACUACGUG
rnacentral:rRNA from 1 species